GACGAACGCUGGCGGCGUGCCUAAUACAUGCAAGUAGAACGCAGUUGCGAACGGGUGAGUAACGCGUAGGUAACCUGCCCUGCACUUCGGGAUAAGCCUGGGAAACUGGGUCUAAUACCGGAUAGUGUGGGAUGGGCCCGCGGCCUAUCAGCUUGUUGGUGGGGUAAUGGCCUACCAAGGCGGCGACGGGUAGCCGGCCUGAGAGGGUGGACGGCCACAUUGGGACUGAGACACGGCCCAGACUCCUACGGGAGGCAGCAGUGGGGAAUAUUGCACAAUGGGCGGAAGCCUGAUGCAGCGACGCCGCGUGGGGGAUGACGGCCUUCGGGUUGUAAACUCCUUUCACCAUCGACGCGGUAGAUGGAGAAGAAGCACCGGCUAACUACGUGCCAGCAGCCGCGGUAAUAC
rnacentral:rRNA from 1 species